ensembl:lncRNA
UGUGUUCUAGAUGGUAAGAGUGUUUCAAGGCAAAAUAACUCAAUAUCACAGCAUACACCAUCCCAGAAGACAUGCACAUAAUCACACAACAAACAAACCUGUGCCUCAGUCUUCAAAAGAAUUCCAUGAAUUGAUCAGCAUUGAAUAAUGGAGCAGAAGGAGAAAGAGAUAAAGCCUGUUGUCUUAGUCAAUGGUGCAAUAGUCUGUGUUGAGGAACAAUUCAGACAGUUUUCUGACUAAAUACAAGGGUGCUGCUUUCACCCCCUGAGUCUGAUGCAGACCUCAGAAAUCAUACCUUUGAGAACUACAUGCUAACUGAGCAUUGGUGAAAGAUAACCUGUGAAUCAAUGCAGUGUCCCACUUUACACGGUGUCUGAAAACCUGACGAGAGAAUACAGCUGGUUGUCGGAUUCGGAAAAUUAAAAAUAUCACAUAAAGAGCAUUGUAAACAAGAGCCAGCAACCACACAGCAUGUACAGAGGAUGACUUCAGCUGGAAAUUUCACGGGGAUUUCAAACAACGGUCAACCAACGCUGUCAGCAGUUCACCAAGAAAAAAGUUACCGGUCACUUCUGCAUCGCUUUGACAUGGCAAGACUGGAAGGUUCUCGGGGGUCCCGACCCAUGACCCUUUACCCUACGGCUCCUGGGUGUUGUUGACAUUGCCUGGUGAAUAACUGAGAGAGAGAGCAAGAGAGAAAGAGAGAGAAGUGUCCUCGGAGGGAGACACUGUGAAUGAAUAAGGAGUAGAUCAAAGCUGAAGAUAAGCCCAGAGGUCACGACCCCUGCUGGGGCGGCUGUCAAGAGGUGUAAAGGAUACAGGAUAUGCUGUGUAACACAGGUAAUGUUCAGCUACACACACACUUCUAUUAACGACUCAUCUGUCUCUGGAAUAUGUGCGCACUGGAAGAUCCUGCCAUGAACACACACUCGCAUGUUUAUUUAUUAUCACGACACUCAGGGAAUGGCAGCCAUAGUGAGUGUUUAAUUCUGAUGGAUGGAAUGCACAAGGAGUGAAGUGCUUUAAAAAUGGAUAAGUGUAAACAAAGGAAAGGCAUCUCCUGCUUUACGGACAGGAGAGAGGUCAGUCGUCCUUCCUAAAGGAUGCUUUGAUUUUCCCUGAUAAUACACAACAAAUUCAGCUCAAUGAGGAGGGAUUCAGUUGCUGUAGUUAAUAUUAAAGACAAAUAAAUCUAAAGCUUAAUCAAAUAAACUGCA